AGGCGAUGUCAUCAAUAAUGGGCCCACAAGCGGGGUCAUCCUCCAUGCCCAAAUUCCUAAAAACCAAAUUCACCUUAUCCUCCUCUGCUUCAAAAGCCCACGCGUAUGGGUCCCACCCUUGCACAUUAUACAAUGUUUGCAAGUCUAUGGUCUGUGAUGCAGGUGGCACUGAGAUGUUUAGCGACUCCAGCUGAGCGCACGUGCGAGCCGC
rnacentral:misc_RNA from 1 species